UCAUUAGAUACCCGGGUAGUCCACGCCGUAAACGAUGAAUACCACACCGCCCGUCACACCAUGGGAGUCGGAAAUGCCCGAAGUCUGUGACCCAACCGUAAGGAGGGAGCAGCCGAAGGCAGGUCGGAUGACUGGGGUGAAGUCGUAACAAGGUAAC
rnacentral:rRNA from 1 species